GACGAACGCUGGCGGCGUGCCUAAUACAUGCCAGUAGAGCGCAGAGGGUUGGUCCUUGUUCCCACUAGAUGAGCCGCGAACGUGUGAGUAACGCGUGGACAAUCAGCCUUUCAGCGGGGGACAACGUGUGGAAACGAAUGCUAAUACCGCAUAAAAACUUUAAACAAAAUUUUUAAUUUUGAAAGAUGCAAUUGCAUCACUCAACGAUGAUCACGCGUUGUAUUAGCUAGUUGGUGAGGUAAAGGCUCACCGAGGCGAUGAUACAUAGCCGACCUGAGAGGGUGAUCGGCCACACUGGGACUGAGACACGGCCCAAACUCCUACGGGAGGCAGCAGUAGGGAAUCUUCGGCAAUGGACGAAAGUCUGACCGAGCAACGCCGCGUGAGUGAAGAAGGUUUUCGGAUCGUAAAACUCUGUUGGUAGAGAAGAACGUUGGUGAGAGUGGAAAGCUCAUCAAGUGACGGUAACUACCCAGAAAGGGACGGCUAACUACGUG
rnacentral:rRNA from 1 species